rnacentral:tRNA from 2 species
GCACCCUUAGCUCAAUUGGAUAGAGUGUCUGACUACGAAUCAGAAGGUUACAGGUUCAACUCCUGUAGGGUGCG